rnacentral:tRNA from 1 species
UCGCGAGAUGAAGCAGCGCGGCGGAGCUUUCGCGGCUUCACUCGACGCCGAUUCCGAAGGCGAGGAGGGCAAGUUUUACGUUUGGUCUCGCGAU